CCAGCCUGGGGAAGCAGGGCAGGGCAGAAAGGGAGUCCCUGAGGGGCUGGAUUAGCCCCCUUGAAAGUGAGGCCCAACAGAGAGAGGCAGCUGGUUCUGUAUACACUUCUCACAGCCUCCCAGCAGUCCCCUGGGAGGCGGACCUAAAGAUCUUCUGAAAAGGAUUCCCAAGUACAGAGAGAGGAAAGAAAUGAGGAAAAAGACAGCAAGCAACUUGCCCAAGGUCACACAGCUGAACUGACUGGAAGCAGGAAGAUAGUGAGGAGACUAUAGCAGAUGUCCAGAAGGCUAUCCAACCCCUUGGGAACAUGAGACACGUGCUGCAUCUCUAGCCCCUGACCAUGCCUAAGGGGACGAAAUGAAGGAAGACGAGCCUGAAGCUGCUCUCUCAGGGGAGCCAACCUCUCCUAGAAGUCCAGGCUAGCAAUCUCUAGCACUGCCCAGCUGAGUUAACAAGCAUUUCUACACCAGCUGCAAAAGAAACCCCUCCCACUGGCUGCCCCAGGGAAAUUGUUCCAGAAUGACCAAUCCAAUAAAAGUUACCUGAUACAUUAUUUUCAGGAAGUUCCUAGAAAAUGCAGCAAAUUUUUAUUUAUUUAUUUUAUUUAUUUUACUUAGGAGAAGCUAGAAAGAGGAAGCUAGUUCUUCCAUGAGCAGCAAUGUUCCCACACUUGGCCAACAGGGUUGUUCUGAGCCC